UGGGGAAUAUUGCACAAUGGGCGAAAGCCUGAUGCAGCGACGCCGCGUGAGGGAUGACGGCCUUCGGGUUGUAAACCUCUUUCAGCAGGGACGAAGCGCAAGUGACGGUACCUGCAGAAGAAGCACCGGCUAACUACGUGCCAGCAGCCGCGGUAAUACGUAGGGUGCAAGCGUUGUCCGGAAUUACUGGGCGUAAAGGGUUCGUAGGCGGUUUGUCGCGUCGUUUGUGAAAACCAGCAGCUCAACUGCUGGUUUGCAGGCGAUACGGGCAGACUUGAGUACUGCAGGGGAGACUGGAAUUCCUGGUGUAGCGGUGAAAUGCGCAGAUAUCAGGAGGAACACCGGUGGCGAAGGCGGGUCUCUGGGCAGUAACUGACGCUGAGGAACGAAAGCGUAGGUAGCGAACAGG
rnacentral:rRNA from 1 species